rnacentral:rRNA from 1 species
UUGUUUGGAGAGUUUGAUCCUGGCUCAGGACGAACGCUGGCGGCGUGCUUAACACAUGCAAGUCGAACGGUGAAGGGACCGGUUUUUGCUGGUUCUGGAUGAGUG